rnacentral:rRNA from 2 species
AUUACUAAGCGGAGGAAAAGAAACUAACAAGGAUUCCCUCAGUAACGGCGAGUGAAGCGGGAAUAGCCCAGCACCGAAUCCCCCGGCCUUGGCCGGCGGGAACUGUGGUGUUCGGGACGACCUUCGUUCGUCGGCCGGUCGCCCGAGUCCUCCUGAUCGGGGCCCUACCCAGAGCGGGUGUAAGGCCUCUACGGCGUCUGGCCGGCGAGCCCGGGGAGUCCUCGGAGUCGGGUUGUUUGAGAUUGCAGCCCAAAGCGGGUGGUAAACUCCAUCUAAGGCUAAAUACUGGCACGAGUCCGAUAGCGAACAAGUACCGUGAGGGAAAGUU